GGAAUAUUCCACAAUGGACGAAAGUCUGAUGGAGCAACGCCGCGUGCAGGAUGAAUGCCUUAGGGUUGUAAACUGCUUUUAUUUGUGAUGAUUUUGACAGUAGCAAAUGAAUAAGGAUCGGCUAACUCCGUGCCAGCAGCCGCGGUCAUACGGAGGAUCCAAGCGUUAUCCGGAAUUACUGGGCGUAAAGAGAUGCGUAGGUGGUUUGUUAAGUAGGAUGUGAAAUCACGAGGCUCAACCUCGUGGCUGUGUCCUAAACUGGCAAACUUGAGAAUAUGAGAGGUCACUGGAAUUCCUAGUGUAGGAGUGAAAUCCGUAGAUAUUAGGAGGAACACCAAUGGCGAAGGCAG
rnacentral:rRNA from 1 species